CAAGUACCCCUUCCGUCCGGAAUUACUUGUCAUCAAAAUGGAUGUGUCUAGAACUAAAAUACAUCUAGAUACAUCCAUUUCGAUGACAAGUAUUUUCGGACGGAGGGAGUACAAG
rnacentral:pre_miRNA from 1 species